AGGAGGGGCGUGGGGCUGGGGAGAUCUUCCUUUGGAAGGGCAGUGGUAACAUGGUCUCCUGGUAUCCCUAGGGGCCACAAGGGAGGACAACAGUGUGAGUUGGGCACGGCCACAGAGCAAGUGAGCAGAGCAGCUGGGCGCAUCUGAGGUAGACGGAUGCAGCGGCCUAGGUCUUUGUAGAGUGAUGGGAUGCUGACUGACAGGGCUGUUGUGUGGGGCUUGUGAUAGUUUUUGUUUUUUUCAGAUGACGAAGAGGCAGCUGGUGACUGGAGGAGUGACGUGUGCUUGUCCUCCAGAAGGAAGGGAAGAGGGAGAGACUCGGCCCCUUGAAAGCUAAGUUGAGGCAACGGUGCUGGGGAAGGGGUUGGGGGAGCGAGGGGGGGCACGGUUGGCUGUGGCAGGAAGGGGUUCUAAAGAGAGCGUAGGGGAGAGGGUUGUCUAGGAAGCGGUCCCCUUUGAGCAGGGGAAUGGAGCGGGUUCCUCUGAAAUAUGACAGUAGUGUGCCCUGGGCAGGGCGGUUCCAGGCUGUGCGUGUCGUUGUGUAGUGCGUCUGUGUGUUGGGUGUGUUUGACCUUCCUCGGGUCUCGGGUGUUCUUUGUUCCGCAGGAUCUCGAGGCAGGUGCCUCGGCAGCGUUAGUAGGGCCCGGCGAGGCCCUAGUCGUGGGCACGGCGCCCAUCGGGCGCUUCUCUUUUGGCGUCGCAAGCUUCCAGCGUGGAUCGUUUUGGCGUCUCGGGUGGUUCUGGCCGGUGGUCUUGUGCCGCGCCGUUCCCGGCCACGUGAGCGGCUCUGCUCACUCCCAGUCGCUUUUAGGGACUGGCGCUUCUUCCUUGCAUCUUCAGGGGCUGAGGUCUUGAAGGCGGGCUGCUUGCGCAUCCGUCUCGUCAGUUUUGAGAGGAAGCGCUUGUCCCCGCCCACGAAGGUGUCGUCGUUUUCUGGCGUGGCGCUAGGAGCACGCUAGGGUCCUGCGCCUGCUCUUACCGCAUGGAGGUUUUCUGUCCGUGCGUCGUCGCUCUCGCCGACCAACUUGGCUUGUAUUUUGAGGCGUGUUGUUGUUGGCGUUCUGUGUAGGGUUCGCCUGUGGUUGUGGUGUCUUGGCUUGGAGCCGCCCUGCCCGGGGGUGUCGAGUCAGGGCAAGGUGGCACAGGAGCGUUUGAGGUGAACUGGGUUGCAGAGAAGAGGGGGGUGUAGCUGGUGAUUUUUUUAGGAAUUGCAGUGGCAACUCUGUGCUUGUAUCUCCAGGGGGCCGCAAAGGAUGGUGACCAUCCAAGUCCAGCACGGGUGAAGGAAUAUAUGUUCCUCCCUCUGGUCACCAUCAUCUUUGGGUGACUGCACGCUACUAAAUUUCCUCCGACACUUGUGGAGAGGUCCUAGAGGAAUGCGACAGGUGGAAAAGCACGCUUUAUGUCCAGUGUUUCCCAAAACUGGAGGCAUAAUAAAGGAGCAUUACUAAUACAAUAAUAAAGGAAAUGAAAACAUGUGUGUCAUUGUUUUAUUCAGGCCUCCUGUGUGUUAUUUGUGGGUGGGGUGUAAUUUCCAGUGGGUGGGAUUUAAUCACAGGGCUCUAUGUAGCCCUUAAACUCUAUGGGAGGUAAUUAAAGGAAAAAAAGCAGCAGUAGGGAAUGGCUUUUGGCUCUUUGAGUAAAUAAGAAA